AUACGGAGGAUCCGAGCGUUAUCCGGAUUUAUUGGGUUUAAAGGGUGCGCAGGCGGGAGAUUAAGUCGGCGGUGAAAUUUUGCAGCUCAACUGUAAAAGUGCCUUCGAAACUGGUUUCCUUGAGUGUAGAUGAAGUAGGCGGAAUUUGGGGUGUAGCGGUGAAAUGCAUAGAUAUCGCGAGGAACUCCGAUUGCGCAGGCAGCUUACUAAACUACUACUGACGCUCAGGCACGAAGGCGUGGGGAUCAAACAGGAUUAGAUACCCUGGUAGUCCACGCAGUAAACGAUGAUUACUAGCUGUUUGCGAUACAAUGUAAGCGGCUGAGCGAAAGCGUUAAGUAAUCCACCUGGGGAGUACGUUCGCAAGAAUGAAACUCAAAGGAAUUGACGGGG
rnacentral:rRNA from 1 species